rnacentral:rRNA from 1 species
UGGGGAAUUUUGGACAAUGGGCGAAAGCCUGAUCCAGCCACGCCGCGUGAGUGAAGAAGGCCUUCGGGUUGUAAAGCUCUUUUAGUCGGAAAGAAAGAGUUGCAAUGAAUAAUUGUGAUUUAUGACGGUACCGACAGAAAAAGCACCGGCUAACUACGUGCCAGCAGCCGCGGUAAUACGUAGGGUGCGAGCGUUAAUCGGAAUUACUGGGCGUAAAGGGUGCGCAGGCGGUCCUGCAAGUCAGAUGUGAAAGCCCCGGGCUUAACCUGGGAAUUGCGUUUGAAACUACAAGACUAGAGUGCAGCAGAGGGGAGUGGAAUUCCAUGUGUAGCAGUGAAAUGCGUAGAGAUGUGGAAGAACACCGAUGGCGAAGGCAGCUCCCUGGGUUGACACUGACGCUCAUGCACGAAAGCUUGGGGAGCAAACA